rnacentral:lncRNA from 10 species
AAUAAGUAAAAAAAAAAGAUCCACCCAUCUAUUAUUAUCAGUGAGGGUUAUAUAAUGAUAAUAUCACUUUUAGGAAAUGUUACACAAUCAUUUUUUGUUUAAUAAAAUUAACACAUUUUAUGACUUUUUGGUCUAUUGUUUGUGUUCUCAAAGAAUAGCCUUGAAAGUUACUUAGUAAUAGCUACAGUAUAAUAUUGUGGCCUUUAGUUUCCAUUUCAUAGACAAUCUUAAAACACUAUGUGCCUUGUGUUACUUCAAUUGUGCUUUCCAUUUUCUGAGACAGGGGCUGAAAAAUAUUUAAUUAAGAAGACACAAAUCCUGAGCAAACACACACCAUGCUGUGUCCUUUAUCAAUGUUGAUCUUUUCCUGGGGCUGGGGGUCUAGUUUUAUUUUGGGGCAGUGUUAAGGAUGUCUGGAGAUCACUGGCAAGCAAUAUGUAUUCUCAGGGCCAAACUAAUCUAAUCCAAUGUGAAUCUUGAAACAAAAGGAACACUGUUUCAAAAUGAUAACUGGAAUUUCUAAGUACUUUUAUGUUUAGAUUGUCACCUACUUCAGUUGCUGGAGAAGUUUCAAAAGGUACAUUCUGUGGUUAUAUUAAGCACAGGCUUCAGAAGAACUGGCCAGAAAACAGGAGUCAAAUCGUCAGUGACAGGGUCUCCAUCUACCCCUAAAAGAGUAUCUUCAGCCAGCAUGGUGGCCCAAGCCUGUGAUCUCAUCACUUCAGGAGCCUGAGGCUAUGGGGAUGGGUAGGAGCUUGUGUGGAUAGGGAAUGGGGGGAGAAGAGAGAAGGAAAGAGGAAGUUGUGUACCACUCUUUUGUAAGUUUCAGGGGGAAGAAGAAAUGGGUUCCCGAAUUCAACCAUAUGUCUUCUUGAAGGAAACUAAAGAUAUAAUAAGCAGAUCUUGCUACACAUUGCAGCACUUACUGUUUUCUGUUUGAGUGGACUGAUGCCCUAUCCAUUGCCUUCCCAGGAAAAGUCUUUUUUCCCCCCUCUGAUCUGGCUGUUCAUGAGUGCUGUCCUUUGCCUCUCUUAGUUAGGGCUGGGUGAAACCCGUCAGGCUCACAUCCAUGGCUUUGAUUGUCUCUCUUUUUACUUCCUGUAUUGGAUGUUUCUCACGUUUUCAAUUGUAUUUAUGCUUAAUUUUCCAAACAUCUCUGUUCUGAACAGAGAAAAAUAUCUUAUUUGGAUAUAUACCCUAAAUAGUGAUAAUAAUAAGUUAUUAUUACAGUAACGCGCAUUUACCGAGCACUUACUGUGUGGCACGUGCACCAUGUUCCCUCCCACUUUGUUUCAUUGCAGCAGCUUUUUUUUCCCCCAGGAUGCUCUUCAUCCUGCUGCCCUUUCUUAACCCUUACUUAUACCUUAGGCCUCUGCUGACUGGGAAUUUCUCAAGAAAUUCUUGCAAAGUCCCUCACGGCAUCAUGAACUGCUCCUUCCUUGCUUACAUCACAAUUGUAGCUUGGCUUUUAUUUAUGGGUAGGCUUCAUACACCACUGCACUCGGGAUCUGCCUUCCACUCAUCUUCCCACUGAUCCUCCCCAUCCCUGCCCACCUUCUUUUUCCAUUAGCCCAAGACAACUGACAACAUGAUAUACGUGGCAGGCGAGACCACCAGGUGAGGGAUUAUUCUAACUACCACGUGCAGAACAGAAGGUAAUGUAUAAGCUUGGAAGCAGAGAAACCAGUUAAGAUGCUAUUGCUAUAAUCGAGACUGGAAAUGAGGAAGACCGGGACCAAAGUCACAGUGGUGGAAGUGAUUGCAUUUCACUAUUUUUUUCUGUUUUUCUUUUUAAUUAUGUUAUUAUUUCCUCUUUUUUUAAUGUUAGAGAGAGUCAUCAAUCUACGUUGAUGCUUGGGAUAUUAAGUUGAUAGAAGAGACAAGAAAACUCCACUUUUUAUUAAUUCUUGUACUGAUAUUUAGACACGUCCUACUUUUUUCUAUUUUCAACUUAAAUCUUUCUUUUUUGUCAUUAGUUAUCAUUAGUUUAUUAUAAAAGAGAAAUAUGGAAAUUAUUUACAUGAUGAAAGAUUUCAGAACUUCAGUGGAAUGGGCAGCUUCAUGUUGAUGCCAUUUCUUUUUUUUAAUUAUAAUUAUACUUUAAGUUUUAGGGUACAUGUGCACAAUGUGCAGGUUAGUUACAUAUGUAUACAUGUGCCAUGCUGGUGUGCUGCACUCAUUAACUCGUCAUUUAGCAUUAGGUAUAUCUCCUAAUGCUAUCCCUCCCCCCUCCCCCCACCCCACAACAGUCCCCAGAGUGUGAUGUUCCCCUUCCUGUGUCCAUGUGUUCUCAUUGUUCAAUUCCCAUCUAUGAGUGAAAACAUGCGGUGUUUGGUUUUUUGUCCUUGUGACAGUUUACUGAGAAUGAUGAUUUCCAGUUUCAUCCACGUCCCUACAAAGGACGUGAACUCAUCAUUUUUUAUGCAUAGUAUUCCAUGGUGUAUAUGUGCCACAUUUUCUUAAUCCAGUCUGUCAUUGUUGGACAUUUGGGUUGGUUCCAAGUCUUUGCUAUUGUGAAU